UUCAUGGGGCUGUAUAUUUACACCUGCCUACUGAAUUUUUCACUCCAUGCAUCUGAUGAAGUGGGUUUUUUUCUCACGAAAGCUUAUGCUCUAAUAAAUUUGUUAGUCUCUAA